GACGAACGCUGGCGGCGUGCUUAACACAUGCAAGUCGAACGGAAAGGCCCUGCUUUUGUGGGGUGCUCGAGUGGCGAACGGGUGAGUAACACGUGAGUAACCUGCCCUUGACUUUGGGAUAACUUCAGGAAACUGGGGCUAAUACCGGAUAGGAGCUCCUGCUGCAUGGUGGGGGUUGGAAAGUUUCGGCGGUUGGGGAUGGACUCGCGGCUUAUCAGCUUGUUGGUGGGGUAGUGGCUUACCAAGGCUUUGACGGGUAGCCGGCCUGAGAGGGUGACCGGCGAGAUGGGGGCUGGGAGACGGCCCAGGCGCCUACGGGAGGCAGCAGUGGGGAAUAUUGCACAAUGGGCGGAAGCCUGAUGCAGCAACGCCGCGUGCGGGAUGACGGCCUUCGGGUUGUAAACCGCUUUCGCCUGUGACGAAGCGUGAGUGACGGUAAUGGGUAAAGAAGCACCGGCUAACUACGUG
rnacentral:rRNA from 1 species